GGUGUGACUGCGUACCUUUUGUAUAAUGGGUCAGCGACUUAUAUUCUGUAGCAAGGUUAACCGUAUAGGGGAGCCGAAGGGAAACCGAGUCUUAACUGGGCGUUAAGUUGCAGGGUAUAGACCCGAAACCCGGUGAUCUAGCCAUGGGCAGGUUGAAGGUUGGGUAACACUAACUGGAGGACCGAACCGACUAAUGUUGAAAAAUUAGCGGAUGACCUGUGGCUGGGGGUGAAAGGCCAAUCAAACCGGGAGAUAGCUGGUUCUCCCCGAAAGCUAUUUAGGUAGCGCCUCGUGAACUCAUCUUCGGGGGUAGAGCACUGUUUCGGCUAGGGGGCCAUCCCGGCUUACCAACCCGAUGCAAACUACGAAUACCGAAGAAUGUUAUCACGGGAGACACACGGCGGGUGCUAACGUCCGUCGUGAAGAGGGAAACAACCCAGACCGCCAGCUAAGGUCCCAAAGUCAUGGUUAAGUGGGAAACGAUGUGGGAAGGCCCAGACAGCCAGGAUGUUGGCUUAGAAGCAGCCAUCAUUUAAAGAAAGCGUAAUAGCUCACUGGUCGAGUCGGCCUGCGCGGAAGAUGUAACGGGGCUAAACCAUGCACCGAAGCUGCGGCAGCGACACUCUGUGUUGUUGGGUAGGGGAGCGUUCUGUAAGCCGUUGAAGGUGGCCUGUGAGGGUUGCUGGAGGUAUCAGAAGUGCGAAUGCUGACAUAAGUAACGAUAAAGCGGGUGAAAAGCCCGCUCGCCGGAAGACCAAGGGUUCCUGUCCAACGUUAAUCGGGGCAGGGUGAGUCGACCCCUAAGGCGAGGCCGAAAGGCGUAGUCGAUGGGAAACAGGUUAAUAUUCCUGUACUUGGUGUUACUGCGAAGGGGGGACGGAGAAGGCUAUGUUAGCCGGGCGACGGUUGUCCCGGUUUAAGCAUGUAGGCGGAGGUUCCAGGUAAAUCCGGUACCUUUUAACGCUGAGGUGUGAUGACGAGGCACUACGGUGCUGAAGUAACAAAUGCCCUGCUUCCAGGAAAAGCCUCUAAGCAUCAGGUAACAUCAAAUCGUACCCCAAACCGACACAGGUGGUCAGGUAGAGAAUACCAAGGCGCUUGAGAGAACUCGGGUGAAGGAACUA
rnacentral:rRNA from 1 species